rnacentral:rRNA from 1 species
GCAGCAGCCGCGGGAAUACGAAGGGGGCUAGCGUUGUUCGGAUUUACUGGGCGUAAAGGGCGCGUAGGCGGGCGAAUAAGUCAGGGGUGAAAUCCCAAGGCUCAACCUUGGAACUGCCUUUGAUACUGUUUGUCUUGAGUUCGAGAGAGGUAAGUGGAACUGCGAGUGUAGAGGUGAAAUUCGUAGAUAUUCGCAAGAACACCAGUGGCGAAGGCGGCUUACUGGCUCGAAACUGACGCUGAGGCGCGAAAGCGUGGGGAGCAAACAGGAUUAGAUACCCGAGUAGUCCCUGUCUCUUAUAC